AACAGUUUCCACUGUUCAUAAAACGGAAAAAAAAAACCUCUCUCGUCUUUCGUUGCAUAAACCCUAGUUCCCAUUCUCUAUCGUCGUCGUUGCCCGAAGCCACCACCGACGAUCUUAUCUCCGUUCUCGGACCAUCCUAUGCCGCGUCCUCCCUUAACCCGAUCAUAUCUCGAGAUAUCAAAUCGUGUCUCAGAUUCCUCGUCCCUUUCAAACCGGAUAAGCCUAAAUCCGAUUUCGGGCGAUGUUCGCUUCGUACUGGACUCUGUUCAGGUAAAAUCGAAGCCGUUGAGAGGCUGAGAAGGAUCUAUAAAGUAUGAUUUUGGCAAGUUUAUUCUACUUAUCUAAGAAGGAUCUAUAAAAUAUGUGAUUAUUGAUUCUCCUCUCAUGGCUAUCGUUGCUCCUCCUAAUAAACAAGAGAGUCUACCUCCUAUCAAAAAUCUCUAAUUUCGUCAUGCCCUCAUAGAUUCGAUAUGGUGUAAGCUUCUGUUUCCUCUCUCUAGAUCUAAGCAGGCAUACUCUCUCGCUCGAUUCUUCUACUUUAUUUAAGUCUAAAAGUGAGAUUUGCUUAUCCUUUACUUUGAUUCUCUUCUUCGAUGCGUUUAAUUACUUUUGUUUGUUUUCUGUUUUAGGGUUUUAUCGGUUGAGUAAUUGAUGAAGAUCAAUUCAAGAAGUAAGUAAGUCUCCAGAUCUGAAGAAACUCCAAAAUAAGGGAGAUUCUUUGAAGAACAACGUUGAUUGCAGGAAGAAGCUAGUCCAAAGACUCUUGUUGGAUCAUAGUGCUGCUAAAGAUAAUCAUGAGAGAUGCAUCCUUACUAAGCUCAAGCAACAAUGUGGUGGACACUUUACUUCUAAGAUGAAGGGCAUGGCUUCAGGAAUUUGGACUUGUUUGUUCGAGGUACAGAUAAGAAGGAGAGAGCUGAACCCAAAACAUUGAGCCAGUUUAUGUACUUGUCUUGCGGAGGAAAUGGUGGAGGAAAUGGUGUGUCUUUAUGAGUGAUGACCAGUUUAUGUACUGAUUCAGAGAGUUAUAGACUUAUGUUUUCGGUUCUUCAUUUUUAUACAAUUUUGUUACAAUUUUGGUGUUACACGGCAGGCCAUGUUUUGGGUGCAGCCAUGUUUAUGGUAGAUAUAGCUGGUGUCUGUAUCCUCUACACUGGCGUAAGGACCCAAGAGAUACCAUCACGUUUACACUCUUCGUGACUAUGCUCAGUUCGAGAUGAAUUGUACUUUCAAAGUUAUGGCUGAUUUACGGUUAA